rnacentral:lncRNA from 1 species
CUCCCAGGGCCACCAUGGGGUCAUCCAGGAGCCUCCCAGGGCCACCAAGAGUCCUCCCAGGGCAACCAAAGGCCACCCAUGGCCACCAAGAAUCCUCCAAGGGCCAUCAAAAACCACCUGUGGCCACCAAGGGGUCAUCCAGGAGCCUCCCAGGGCCAACAAAGGCCACCCAUGGCCACCAUAGGGUCACCAAAAGUCACCAGGAGGCAGCCAAGUCCAACAGGAGACAAACAGGGCCACUGAGAGCCAUCGAGGGCCACCAGGGGGCUUCCCAGGGCCACCCGGAGUCCUGAAAGGCCACCAAGGAUCCUUCAAGGGCCAUCAAAAACCACCCAGGGCUACUAAGGGUCCUCCUAGGGCUACCAUGAAGUCAUCCAGGAGCCUCCCAGGGCCACCAAAGGCCACCCAUGGCCACCAUAGGGUCAUCCCAGGGCCAUCAAAAACCACCCAGGGCUACUAAGGGUCCUCCCAGGGCCACCAAAGGCCAUCCCAGGGCCACCAAGGAUCCUCCAAGGGCCAUCAAAAACCACCUAUGGCAACCAAGAGUCCUCCCAGGGCCACCAAAGGCCAUCCAGGGCCACAAAGGAUCCUCCAAGGGUCAUCAAAAACCACCCAGGGCUACUAAGGGUCCUCCCAGGGCUACCAUAGGGCCAUCCAGGAGCCUCCUAGGGCCACCAAAGGCCACCCAUGGCCACCAUAGGGUCAUCCCAGGGCCAUCAGAAACCACCCAGGGCCACCAAGAGUCCUCCCAUGGCCACCAAAGGCCACCCAUGGCCACCAAGGGUCCUCCAAGGGCCAUCAAAAACCACCCAGGGCUACUAAGUGUCCUCCCAGGGCCACCAUAGGGUCACCAAAAGUCACCAGGAGGCAGCCAAGGCCAACAGGAGACAGACAGGGCCGCUGAGAGCCAUCGAGGGCCACCAGGGGCCUUCCCAGGGCCACCUGGAGUCCUCAAAGGCCACCAAAGAUCCUUCAAGGGCCAUCAAAAACCAGCCAUGGCGACCAUGGGUCAUCCCAGGGCCAUCAAAAACCACCCAGGGCUACUAAGGGUCCU